CGCGUGGGAAUGUACCCUUCUCUAUGGAAUAGCCUCGGGAAACUGAGAGUAAUACCAUAUACGCCCUUCGGGGGAAAGAUUUAUCGGAGAAGGAUCAGCCCGCGUAAGAUUAGAUAGUUGGUGGGGUAAUGGCCUACCAAGUCUACGAUCUUUAGCUGGUUUUAGAGGAUGAUCAGCAACACUGGGACUGAGACACGGCCCAGACUCCUACGGGAGGCAGCAGUGGGGAAUCUUAGACAAUGGGCGCAAGCCUGAUCUAGCCAUGCCGCGUGUGUGAUGAAGGCCUUAGGGUCGUAAAGCACUUUCGCCAGGGAUGAUAAUGACAGUACCUGGUAAAGAAACCCCGGCUAACUCCGUGCCAGCCGCC
rnacentral:rRNA from 2 species